GAUUCGCCCGGAGUGGCCGAGCUGCGCGGCUACGGCUUCAUUGUCAGUUGAAAGACGCGGUUUCGCGCGCCUGUGCGGUCGGCGAGAAAGGGUACUAGGCGGCUCCGCUAGGUUCAUGGAGCUGAGCUGGGCCGAGGGGCGGGAACUGCGGAGCGGCCUCGGUCAAACUCGUCUUAAAGGACGCGGAAAGCGCCGCACCGACCAGCAGGACGCUCGCGGGCUCUCCGCGGUCGUGACUUUUAACCCGCUUUGCGCGGAGCCCUCACCACGUGACGGCCGCGCAGGCGCAUUAUCCUAGCCCUCGGCGCGUGGGUCGGGCCGAGGGGUUCAGCAGCCCGUGGCGCUCCUCGGCUGGCGCUGCGAGUGAGCCCGCGGCGGCAGUGACACAGCCUACCUUGCUCAUUGCCCUUCACGUCCCGCCUCCGGCUUCUGCGGCCGCGGGAAUCCGAGAAUGUGAGCAAAGACAAGUUUUCCGACACCGAAAACUCGUUGGAACCGGCAAGCGCGCCCCUAGCUCCGGCAGGCAAAAUGCGACCUUCUCUCGCCCUUUUUCGUUUGUACUCCGAAUUGCGAAAGUACUGUAUGUUCACUGGAAAUAUGGGAAAAUGCAGAAAUACAUUAACGGCUGCAUACAUUCCGUCGAGUGAGUGAAACUAACUUACCCUGGACGUUAAGCUGUUUCCAGUUCUCACUUUACUAAAUAAUAAUAGAACGAAGGUUCUUGUGCACGUCUACCUUGUAUUUUUAUAAUUCCUUUCCUUUCCCCACUUCCCUCCUUGUCCGCUAAAAUAAAGUGCUACCAGAUAAACUCAGGGCAAAAUGAGCUUAAACUAAGUGAGGUAGUGGGGAGACUCGAAUUGCUCUUAUAUAAACCCCAUAGAAAGUACGGAGCUUUCGGCGUAAUCGGUGCUCAGUAAAUACUUGUUCAUGUCAAUUCACAGCUAAUUGUACAUUUUAUUAGGUAAGUAACAUCUGGAUAUUAAAGGGCAUAUUAAUGUAAAACUAUAAAGGCCCUGAAUUAUUUUCUUAGGUGAUUUAAAUUUUUCUCUUUAACUACAAAUUGUGUUUCAAUAUUAAUAGAAGUCUUAAAAUAUUAGAUAAAUGAACCCUAGUUAUUUUGAGGUAGCUCCUUGAAAGUAAGGCAACUCCAGCUACCCUUUUAACCUGCUAAGUGGUUA
rnacentral:lncRNA from 1 species